AACCAGCACCUCAAGUGGUCAGGAUGAUUAUUGGGCCUAAAGCAUCCGUAGCCGGCUCUGUAAGUUUUCGGUUAAAUCUGUACGCUCAACGUACAGGCUGCCGGGAAUACUGCAGAGCUAGGGAGUGGGAGAGGUAGACGGUACUCGGUAGGAAGGGGUAAAAUCCUUUGAUCUAUUGAUGACCACCUGUGGCGAAGGCGGCCACCUGGACUGAUACUGACACUGAGGUGCGAAAGCGUGGGGAGCAAACAGG
rnacentral:rRNA from 1 species